AUACGUAGGGGGCAAGCGUUAUCCGGAUUUAUUGGGUUUAAAGGGUGCGUAGGCGGUUUGCUAAGCGGGAGGUGAAAUGCCGGCGCUCAACGUCGGAAGUGCCUCCCGAACUGGUGGACUGGAAUGACUCUGCCGUGGGAGGAAUGUGUAGUGUAGCGGUGAAAUGCUUAGAGAUUACACAGAACACCGAUUGCGAAGGCAUCUCACGAAGGGUUGAUUGACGCUGAGGCACGAAAGCGUGGGGAUCAAACAGGAUUAGAUACCCUGGUAGUCCACGCAGUAAACGAUGAUGGCUAACCGCUGGUUUAUUCGGAUCAGUGGCCAAGCGAAAGCGAUAAGCCAUCCACCUGGGGAGUACGACCGCAAGGUUGAAACUCAAAUGAAUUGGCGGGG
rnacentral:rRNA from 1 species